rnacentral:rRNA from 1 species
UACGGGGGGGGCAAGCGUUGUUCGGAAUUACUGGGCGUAAAGGGCUCGUAGGCUGCCAACUAAGUCGGACGUGAAAUCCCUCGGCUUAACCGGGGAACUGCGUCCGAUACUGGAUGGCUUGAGUUUGGGAGAGGGAUGCGGAAUUCCUGGUGUAGCGGUGAAAUGCGCAGAUAUCAGGAAGAACACCAAUGGCGAAAGCAGCUCUCUGGGACGGUACUGACGCUGAGACGCGAAAGCGUGGGGAGCGAACAGG